rnacentral:rRNA from 1 species
CGAAAACGAAUUCUCUCUUGAGUGGAUCCUGAGUACGACGGAGCACGUGAAAUUCCGUCGGAAUCUGGGAGGACCAUCUCCUAAGGCUAAAUACUCUCUAGUGACCGAUAGUGAACCAGUACCGUGAGGGAAAGGUGAAAAGUACCCCGGAAGGGGAGUGAAAGAGAACUUGAAACCGUGUGCUUACAAGUAGUCAGAGCCCGUUAAUGGGUGAUGGCGUGCCUUUUGUAGAAUGAACCGGCGAGUUACGAUCUGAUGCAAGGUUAAGCAGAAAAUGUGGAGCCGUAGCGAAAGCGAGUCUGAAUAGGGCGAAUGAGUAUUUGGUCGUAGACCCGAAACCAGGUGAUCUACCCUUGGUCAGGUUGAAGUUCAGGUAACACUGAAUGGAGGACCGAACCGACUUACGUUGAA